GGAGGAGGAUAACGUGUCCGUUUGGCCAUCCCAGCUGUCCAUGCAGGGGCGUAUAUACACAAACAAAUGGCUGCCAAGCCCCUGAGGGAACCAAGGCCAAGAGAGCCCUGAAAGUGAAGAGCAAAGGAAGGCAGGCGGGUUUGGGAGCAGGAGACGCCGCGGCCUCCCGGCCAACUCCGGUCCAGCCACAGGCUAUUCUAGAGAUCUGACGGGACCCAAGGGGCCACCAGACAGAGGGAGGCUCCAACUGGGCUAACUUCAAACUCGGGGAGCCCCCAGAAGACUCUAGCUCUGCCCCCCAUCCCAGGGCAUGGGCAUGGCCACAGGAGAGCCCCCAGGCCAGGGGCCCGACUCACCGACGGGGAGGCCAAGCACAUGGUGGGGAGAUGGGAGAGCAAAUCGGAACCUGCGGGUGUCAUGGCUGAUAUUCUAGAAGGAAGAAAAUGGUUCUAAUUACUAGCGAGGCAGGAAGCCUAGAGAGCUGGCCUUCCACUGGCCAACCUCUGACCCAGGCUGGUUGGGGGAUGCGGGCGAGUUCAUGCUCCCGAGGAAGCUCCCUGGCCCCCUCCGCCCCCCUCAUUUCUGUAGCUUCUCGGGGCACUUUCUCCCCACAGCCCUCAGGUGUGUGGCACAGGGAAACUUCGUCCAAGAUGAAAUUCAAGCUAGGAGGGUGAGAGGUCCCCCUGCGAAUGAACCUCAGGGCAGGAUUCCCACCCAAGUUCAGAAUCUCCCGCACAGUAUACAGCCGCCCUGGAAAGGUCUGGGGGCUACCCAGCUUCCUUUAUCAACCAGAUCCCAGCUGGGCUGGAGCAAGGGGAGAAAUUCCACCUGUCCGACCUGUGAUGGCUCCAUCACCCGUCAGCUCCUGGUGGAGCCUGGGGAGAAGAGGAAGAGCCUGAGCCACGUGUAGAAAGUGGCCCCAAGCAGAGCCCUCAGCCCCAAAGAGCCUGUUGGACUUAGGCUGGAAGCCUACAUUAGCACCAGGUGAAGAGGAUAGACAAGGCUGGGGCAGGGGCGAGACCUAGGUGUCGCUGUUACUUUGUGACUCCAUGAGCUAACUCAACUGUGUCCCCCCCAAACAAGAGGUCUGGGGAAAAGCCUAGACCCCAAAAGACCUCAUUCUCCUUACACGGGUGUAUUGGGGAGCAGCAGGCAGCAUAACAUGGUUCUAAUUCAA